CGCAGCCAUGUCAAAUUCAGUGUUUCCUCUUCAGUGGAUGUCACUGGCCAAAAUGGCUGCCACAUUGUACUAGUAGUUCAUGGGCCUCGCUGUGCACCUUUAUGGUCUGUGGGGAUAGAAGAGUGCUACUUACAAAA